GUAGGGAAUAUUGCACAAUGGGGGAAACCCUGAUGCAGCGACGCCGCGUGAGUGAUGAAGGCCUUCGGGUCGUAAAGCUCUGUCGUAUGGGACUAACACAAUGAAGGUACCAUGCAAGAAAGGAUCGGCUAACUUCGUGCCAGCAGCCGCGGUAAGACGAGGGAUCCUAGCGUUGUUCGGAAUCAUUGGGCGUAAAGCGGGUGUAGGCGGAUUUAUAAGUCAGGUGUGAAAUCCCAGGGCUCAACCCUGGAAGUGCACUUGAUACUGUAAAUCUUGAGUGUGGUAGAGGUUACUGGAAUUGUUGGUGCAGUGGUGAAAUACGUAGAUAUCAACAGGAAUACCGGAGGCGAAGGCGAGUAACUGGGCCAACACUGACGCUGAGACCCGAAAGCGUGGGGAUCAAACAGGAUUAGAAACCCGUGUAGUCC
rnacentral:rRNA from 1 species